rnacentral:sRNA from 1 species
GCUGGGUGUGGUGGUGCAUACCUGUAAUCCCAGCUGCUCAGGAGGCUGAGGCAAGAGUAUCAGAAGUUUGAGACUAGCCUCAG